GCAGCCGCGGUAAUACGUAGGUGGCGAGCGUUAUCCGGAAUUACUGGGUGUAAAGGGUGUGUAGGCGGGGAGGCAAGUCAGAUGUGAAAACCAAAAGCUCAACUUUUGGCCUGCAUUUGAAACUGUUUCUCUUGAGAGUGGGAGAGGUAAAUGGAAUUCCUGGUGUAGUAGUGAAAUGCGUAGAUAUCAGGAGGAACACCGGUGGCGAAGGCGAUUUACUGGACCAUUACUGACGCUGAGACACGAAAGCGUGGGGAGCAAACAGGAUUAGAUACCCC
rnacentral:rRNA from 1 species